GGGAGCGGUUAUCCCUCCCCAUCGGCUGUAUUCGGCGCGAGCGCCCAUCCACCCCAAGCGCCCAUAUGGCUUGACCCGUCCGGUUGUCCCCCCGGACGGGUC
rnacentral:sRNA from 1 species